rnacentral:tRNA from 1 species
GCGGGCGUAACUCAGUGGUAGAGUGCAACCUUGCCAAGGNNGUCGCGGGUUCAAAUCCCGUCGCCCGCUCCA